rnacentral:rRNA from 1 species
UACGUAGGGGCCUAGCGUUGUCCGGAUUUAUUGGGCGUAAAGAGCUCGUAGGCGGUUUGGUGAGUCGGGUGUGAAAUCUCCACGCUCAACCUGGAGACGCCACCCGAUACUGCUGUGACUAGAGUCCGGUAGGGGAGCGUGGAAUUCCUGGUGUAGCGGUGAAAUGCGCAGAUAUCAGGAGGAACACCGGUGGCGAAGGCGGGUCUCUGGGCAACAACUGACGCUGGAGGAGCGAAAGCGUGGGGAGCGAACAGG